rnacentral:rRNA from 1 species
AUAAGCGGAGGAAAAGAAACCAACAGGGAUUGCCCCAGUAACGGCGAGUGAAGCGGCAACAGCUCAAAUUUGAAAUCUGGUCCCCAGGGCCCGAGUUGUAAUUUGCAGAGGAUGCUUUUGGUGAGGUGCCUUCCGAGUUCCCUGGAACGGGACGCCAUAGAGGGUGAGAGCCCCGUCUGGUUGGAUACCGAGCCUCUGUAAAGCUCCUUCGACGAGUCGAGUAGUUUGGGAAUGCUGCUCUAAAUGGGAGGUAUAUGUCUUCUAAAGCUAAAUAUUGGCCAGAGACCGAUAGCGCACAAGUAGAGUGAUCGAAAGAUGAAAAGCACUUUGAAAAGAGGGUUAAAUAGUACGUGAAAUUGUUGAAAGGGAAGCACUUAUGACCAGACUUGGCCCCGGUGAAUCAUCCAGCGGUUCCCGCUGGUGCACUUUGCCGGGGUUCAGGCCAGCAUCAGUUCGCUCCGGGGGAUAAAGGCUUUGGGAAUGUGGCUCCCUCGGGAGUGUUAUAGCCCAUUGCGUAAUACCCUGUGGCGGGCUGAGGUUCGCGCUUUAUGCAAGGAUGCUGGCAUAAUGGUCAUCAGUGACCCGUCUUGAAACACGGACCAAGGAGUCGUCUUCGUAUGCGAGUGUUCGGGUGUUAAACCCCUACGCGUAAUGAAAGUGAACGCAGGUGAGAGCCCUCCAGGGCGCAUCAUCGACCGAUCCUGAUGUUCUCGGAUGGAUUUGAGUAAGAGCAUACGGGGCCGGACCCGAAAGAAGGUGAACUAUGCCUGUAUAGGGUGAAGCCAGAGGAAACUCUGGUGGAGGCUCGCAGCGGUUCUGACGUGCAAAUCGAUCGUCAAAUAUGGGCAUGGGGGCGAAAGACUAAUCGAACC